UGCCCCUAAGAGGGACAAAGUGGCAGCGCAUGAAUCAGACAAAAAGCAGCGUAUGUUUCAGGACAUUCUCAAAUAAAACAACCAACAAACACACAAUUUAAAGUACUGUGCAUCAAACUUCCCUUACAGUAAGUCAGAGUCCAGUUGAUCAAAUUUAAAUGUAUUUACUUUAUUUUUAGUUUUAAUGUAUUGAGUGCUGUAGGUGCCGGCUAACAGGAUAUCAAAAAAUGCCUUCGGGAAAUUAUCCCGAGAAUAAAUCGUAAAUAUGCAAUUUGUGGAAACACUUCAAAAUGAGGCCUUCUAAUUACUGCAACAAAAGGAAACUGAUCCAAAAAUAACAGCUACCGGGCUCCCAGGAGAAAUGAUCUUGAAGGACUUCUCAUAAAGAAUGGAACAAUUGGUUCUGAUAAGGUUCUGCUUACUGUGCACCACCUCUCACUGUUAACACCCACCUUUAGCAUUUGAAACACAAUAUGUUGUUCACAAAUCUCAACCUUGAUGUUUUUUUAAAUUGUUAUUAAAACAAUAGUGGCACUUUCGCCACACAGCAGAUUUUAGAUUAUGCUUCCCCAAAGUUUGCUGGUGUGAGUGUGAGACCACGCAUUUGUCUGCGCCUACAUGUGGCCCUGUACAGAUCUGUCCAGGUGAAGCUGCCUCUUGCCGGGAUGACAGCUGGGAUCGGCUCCAGUAUGACUAUGACCUUAUGAAGGCUGAGCGGUGGAAAAUGAUAUCACACCUCAGUGUUAGCACACUGCCUCAGACACACCUCAAAAGACAUUCAGAUGUGAUCAUCAGCUAUGUGGUUGCCAUGGCUCAAACGCAUGACAGCCUGCUGUACUGCACGGAGGUCAGGCUCCUGUGUUUACUGUGGUUACGGCUUACAGUCCAGAGUCCGAAGCAGAGCGUCAGUGAGCCGAGACUCCUAAUGUGUUCACACAUUUAGAAAUGAAGUGUACCACAAACUAAUAAACAAAAGUGCGCACACUUUGCACAAUUGGUGAUUCAUGCUUCCUUUCACAAUUUCUGAUGCCCAUGUUUAAUAUGUGCCAAUAAUUCACUUCUUCACAAUCCAAUAAUCUGUUGCUGUUAAUCUUGAUGGCACCUACAUUAGUCUGUAGCAAAGUUUAGAAACAAAGCUUCAGUUUGCUUCAUAUGUAAAAAUACAUUAAGUAAUCUCAUCUCUCCAGUCAGCGGCGUCUGUACAUGUCUCAUCCUGGUUGUUGUACUUGCCAGCACUAAUAGUUGCUUUUGUGAUCCUCUUCAACACCGUAGCAACAGAGAAUAAGAGUCACUUGUAUCUGCUGAACAUUCAGUCAAUGGAAUGAGUGAAGCGACUGAAACGGGGACGUCGCCACACAUCGCUUGUUUUGUACGUAAAAGUCAAAAUAGCGGAAUGCCUCACGCCGCUGGUGCCUUAAAAAGCUACGUAUUUACACAUUGGAAGUGGAAACGUGUGCACACUGAGAACACAGUUGCCAACGUUAAGCUCCACUACACUUCAGUAAAUGUGGUUCUAGUGAGAACCCUCGGCGUAGUGAACGUACUGUAGAACCUCGCUGCGGUGCUAGUGGCCUCACCUGCCCAGUUCUCCGGUGGUUUCGUACACGCUGUCCAUCGGCUCCGUGCUCACCGGGGUCUGGAUUUCCCCCAGCAGCCCAGCGGAGAGUCCGCUGCGACUGUCCAGCCGUCUCCGGGCCAUCUUCCUCCCCCUUCGAUAACAGUGCUUUGCCGACUACACAACUGGAUAUCGCGCUAUGUGCUAAGAAACGGAGAGUUGGCGCAUAAAAGCAGCAGACGCCUCGCUAACACCGCCGCUCCCGCGUCUCUCACAUAUCAAUGAGAAGUCAGAGAAGCCGGUAACCGAGCGGCUCCGUCACCGACUCCGGUUAGCUCAACUGCCGCUAAGUUAGCUCGACGCUCACUGGUUCAAAAGUGAGUUCAAACAGAUUUCCCUACGCGACCGCAUCAAAGUUAGAGCAGCGAGUCAGUUCCAGUAGGAAAUGCCGCCGAACACCACAACUGAACAGCGUAGAGGCGACGUAAAUCUGGACAGUUUUCGGUCAUUUUCACAUCCUUCUGUUUGACACUUUGUGGACGCGUCACAAAUACACGCAUGCGCACUAUGGUUCUGUUUCAAAAAGCCGUGGCCUCUAUAGUCAAAUGGGCCGCCGUGCGCGUUUCCGUGUUCAAAGCAGCGUCACUGUAGUUUAAGUGCCGGAUUCACACAAUGAUUACGGUAACAGUGUUGCGAUCGCAGAUAUACUGCCCGAUGUAACGUUUACGAUAGGACAGAAGCUACUGUGUAUGUUUAGAACAUUCACUAAUGGAAUAUAUAAAACGCUAUUAACGUCUUUUCAAAACUUGGCUUUGAAAAAAACCUGUUUCUCAAAUUAGUAGAUUACCAUUACUUCAUAGUACCACUUAGUACUUCAUAGACUACUACUGUACCACAGACUACAGCAACUCAAUUUACCGUAUAUCUUUGGACAUCAACGAGUUUUCCAUCAUUUCUGCCCUGUCGAGAGAUAAUAAAAGACAAAGGCCUAAAGACAAUAACAAUAUGUAUUUCCUCGUAAAACCGUUUUGUAUGAACUAUUAAUAUAGUAUUGUAUAUCUUAUUAUUUACAAGUUAAAAUAGAUAAAGCACUUAUAAACCACAAGCAAGAAUCAUGUGUCAUUCAUCAAAAUUUACCAUUUGUUCUCUUUUAUUACAAUCAUUGGGUGAAAUGAGACACACGUACAGGAGCUUUGCAUAGAGUGGAUUUCUGAAAACUGGAGCUGGGUUUUGUCUGAAAUGUGCUGGAAAGAAGACAGGUGACACUGUCUUCCUUUGGAUGUGAAGUAGGUAAUCAGUCUUAUGUGUCUUUUGCUGCAGAAUAGCUUUGGAAAUGACAAACCGACCUAGUGAUGCAUAUCCUGUAGUGAAGCAGUGUUGUUCAUGCCACAAACAUGAGGUGAUGCUCUGUGAGGAUCUGGACGGCCCCAGACGUGGGAUGUGUCUGUGAAAUACAAAGCAGGCCUAAUGGUUGACUCUGCAAGCCCCAAACCUUUGGUACAUUCGGUGCAAAAUAUAUAUUUAUACACACAACAGGACAGACAUACAUAUAGAGUUAUAUACAAAGAGACAAACAAGACUGCACACAUGAUACACGAACAUGUGCUCUCACGUUUCACAAAAUCAAAACAGCCCUAUCAAGUCAUCACCAGUUCAUGAGCAAUGAAACUGAACCAUCAACCUAUAGGCAGACGCACACGUGUGAAAGGAACAUUUUGAAACAUGCUGCCAAGACACUCACCAUUACACUGUCAGAGAGAAACAAACUAUUGCAUUUACACAGUGUCCAUUCCCAGAGCUAAAACCUCUCUGUGACUAAAGCAGGUGUGUAACACCUUGUUCCAAUGGUCAUGAACACUUAAGGGUAUGACAGUGGCAGGUAAGCACAUGCCUCCAUGAGCGCUACAGCCAAAGUGACAAAACUGAACCAGGUCCCUCGCCCAUUUUCUGAACGGACAGCAAUAAUCUCAUGCAAAAAAAGCUAGUAAGGACAGUGUGUUGCACUAUUUCAGCAUGCAAUAUCGAGCUAUAACACAACACCACCUAGGGGGUUCAGCCCUGGCGCAGCUCACAGAGCUGACCAAGAAGGUCCUGCAUGCAGUAUUUGGCUGGGGGAGGAGAGGGGAUGGGGUACGAAGGUCUGCCUCCAUACCUGGCAUCACGUGUGGGGGCUCUCUAGCGCUAUUCCAGCCCCGUGGUCUACCUCCAAGAGGACUUUGUACAAUAGAUGUCAUAUUGCAUGCACCCCAUAGAACAUGGGUAUGCUUGUUUUUGUGUGUUUUUGUGUGUGGGAGGAAGGAGUGCGUGGGAGACAGAGUCACAGUUAGAAAGGACCUGUCCUCAGGCUUUAGAUUGUGCAGUUAAGAGUUACAGAAUGUUCUAUCACAUGCUUUCAAGACAACACUAUUGUCUGACUAAAGGUUCUAAAGUAGAGAAUCCAUCCAGGAUAAUGUUUAUCCCGGCGAGAUCAUAAUCACAAUUUAUCAGGUUCUUCAGCAAAAAGUUGAACCGUAACAAAGGACCACAAAACAAAUUUCAAGAACUACUUUGUUUGCAAGUCAACGAUUGAUGGUAAAACCAGAGAGCAAAUACUCUAUAAUAUAAAAGCAGAAUCUGAGUUCUCUUAGCUUAGGACUCAAAAAAAAAGAAAACAACAAA